GGACAGGGUUGCCACCAAAGGGGGUUGCCCCUUGGGGAGUCCCAAGAGAGAGGCAGAUCUGUUCACAGUGGACAAGUUGACACACUACAGUGAACAUUUCUCCAGCACUCUGCAGCCUCCCUGGCUGCUAUCUGAUCUGGAAAAAAGGCAUGGGAGGGGUUACCUUAUGAUAUCUUCCACUGGGCUUUUGACUGACAUGAGGGCACCCAGGAAGGCUGCACUAUGCAAACCACUGUUGAUUACGACUUAUGGUGACCCUAUGAAUCAUUGACCUCCAAGAGCAUCUGUCAUGAACCACCCUGUUCAGAUCUUGUAAGUUCAGAGCUGUGUUUUGGAGUCCUUCUGGAUUCAGCAAUAACUGGGAAAGCUCAGGUACCAGAAGUGACCAGGAGUGCUUUUUGCCAGCAGAGGCAGGAACACAAACGGUGAGCCUAUCUGAAGAAGACAGGCCUUGUGUCAGUUACACAUGCACUAGGGGCAUCCAGGCUGGACUACUGUAUUGCUCUCCACAUGGAGCUAUCUUUAAAGACAGAUUGGAAACUUCAAGUGGUGCACAAUGUACCCACCAGGAUGCUUGCUGGGGGCCAAGUGGUUAGAACAUGUGACAAACCUAUGUUAUCCAAUUGCCUUGGUUGCCAGUGCAUGUCUGGGUCCAGUUUAAGUUGAAGAUAUUGACCUUUAAAGCCCUAAAUGGUUCAGAACCUGGAUACCUGAAGGACCACCUUCAAUCAUAUUAGCCUGCCCAUGCUUUGAGACCUGCUUCUAAGACCUACCUUUGUACCUACUUGCAAGAGUAAUUAGGUUGGUGGAGAGAACUGAGACAGUUUUUUUGGCAGUGAUCCCACAUUUGUGGAACUCUGUUCCGGUUGUGGUUUGAAAGCCUCCAUCACCCUUUAAGCUUACCUGUUCACUGCUGCUUUCUAAUAAUUUAAAAAUUGAUUGAGCAGCUGUAAUUGUAGUGCUGUUUUAUAUUUGUGAUUUUAUGGUUUUACUGUGCUGCAUGUUUCUUUAAUGUUAUCUCUGGAUCCUGCUUUUUAUUAAUUGUAUUGUUGUGUGUUUUAUAAUUUUAUAUAUUGUUGUAAAUUGGCUUAAUGUUGUGUAGAUUGUUGUGAGCUGCCUUGUCAGAAAGUUUUUAUUUCUGAAAGGCAGAAUAUAAAUAUGUUAAAUAAAAUGCAAAGUGGCCAACAUCAUUAGAUUGAAAAACACCAAUUGUCCAAUUAAUAAAAAAAAAAAUCAAAGCAGCAGAUAAAACAUUAAUAAGCUAAUAGCACAACACAGAGCCAAAAUGAAUUAAAACAGUCCAAAAGAAAUUUCAAAUCAGAAAAACUGAAAAGGAUGCUGGGACAAAAAAAGUUCCAUGGACGUUCAAUUAAUACAGUUCCUUCCCACAUGGGUGAAGCAAUCUUGUAAAUAUUUCUUAUAAAAAUCUAAUAUUUUCCAGACCUUGGUAAAGAACAUUCUGUCACCCGUUGGUAUAAUCAGACAGCUUGACCAUACAAAACCUACAUGGAAAAAGCCCACCUGGUGGUUACUUUUCUGCAUCAAUAUUUAACUUGAAGAAAGACAUCGGGGAUGCUGAUGCCCACUUAUUACCAGGCCCUCAGAAUCCUGAAGGCAACCCUGGAAUAAGUCAGUAGAGAAUGGGGUGGGGAUUAAAUUAAGAAUGGGAACCUGCCCACUCACUUAGCUAAAGCGAUGUUUCAUUUGAUCCCAAUAUGGAUUCCGGACAUGGGGAAUUUCUUCAUGUCUAGCCAAGUUCACUGUACAGUGGCUGUUCCAUCUUUGCUAUUCAACACUAGCAAUUACAUUAACUCUGGAGGCUUCCUUAUGAGAUGCCAUCAGUAUGAGUUCCAGGAACAGUAAGCCGAAUUGUUCCUGGACCAGAAAGUGCAUCUGUCUAUGAAUAGCUAUUUAACCCUCUACAAGCUCUUUUGGAACUCAAUGAAUAUUGGUCCUCCUUGAUGGAACAUAGUUCCAAAAAAAGGGGGAGGCUAAAGGAGCUAUUACUCAUUUUACGGCUCAGUAGUGUAACAAACUGACCAUGCAAACAAAACAGAAACAAAUCAGUGCAAGAACUGCUGAACAGCUUUUUUUCCCCCAGAUCAGCUGAGCUGAAACAUUCUGCUGCACAAAGAGCUGAUGCUGUUCAUGUUGGUCAAACUUGAGGCCCAUACUACAGAUGCUGCAAUUGGUCCAGGGUGCAUCAGUAAGGAUGAUGGUGGGCUCACAUCCAUGAGACCAUGUUGCGUCUAUGCUGCAAAAUCUGCACUGGCUGCCAAUUUUGGUCUGGGCACAAUUCAAACUGUUGGUGAUUAUCUUUAAAGCCCUAAAUUGCUUGGGCCUGGGAUAUCUGAUGGAUUGCUUCCUGCCAUACCGUCCUGCCUGCUUCUUAAGUUUAGAAGGAGAGGCCAAUGUCUGUGCCCUACCUAGGGCAGAUGCACAGCUGAUAGCAACAACAGGCCCUUUUGGCCAAUAUUGCUAAUAUUGUGGGACACCUUGUGCCACAAAAUGUGGAUUGCACCUUCUCUGGAUGUCUUUUGCGAGUUAGUAAAGGUUUUUUUCUCCUCCAAGCAGGCUUUUGCCUGCUACGUUUUAUGUUUUAUAUGUGGUCUCUGUCCUUGCUAUAGUUUUAUGGUAUUUUAUGACAUUGUGAUUUUAAAUUGUUGUAAGCCAUGGUGGCAGAGAA